ACGAACGCUGGCGGCGUGCUUAACACAUGCAAGUCGAACGGAAAGGCCCUGCUUGCAGGGUACUCGAGUGGCGAACGGGUGAGUAACACGUGGGUGAUCUGCCCUGCACUUCGGGAUAAGCCUGGGAAACUGGGUCUAAUACCGGAUAGGAGCCAUUUUUAGUGUGAUGGUUGGAAAGUUUUUUCGGUGUAGGAUGAGCUCGCGGCCUAUCAGCUUGUUGGUGGGGUAAUGGCCUACCAAGGCGGCGACGGGUAGCCGGCCUGAGAGGGUGGACGGCCACAUUGGGACUGAGAUACGGCCCAGACUCCUACGGGAGGCAGCAGUGGGGAAUAUUGCACAAUGGGCGCAAGCCUGAUGCAGCGACGCCGCGUGGGGGAUGACGGCCUUCGGGUUGUAAACUCCUUUCGCUAGGGACGAAGCUUUUUGUGACGGUACCUAGAUAAGAAGCACCGGCUAACUGCGUG
rnacentral:rRNA from 1 species